rnacentral:rRNA from 1 species
UAAGGAAUAUUGGUCAAUGGACGAAAGUCUGAACCAGCCAUGCCGCGUGGAGGAUGAAGGUCCUCUGGAUUGUAAACUUCUUUUAUCUGGGACGAAAAAAGGGAAUUCUUUCUCACUUGACGGUACCAGAUGAAUAAGCACCGGCUAACUCCGUGCCAGCAGCCGCGGUAAUACGGAGGGUGCAAGCGUUAUCCGGAUUCACUGGGUUUAAAGGGUGCGUAGGCGGGCAGAUAAGUCAGCGGUGAAAUCCCCGAGCUUAACUUGGGAACUGCCGUUGAUACUAUUUGUCUUGAAUGUCGUGGAGGUUAGCGGAAUAUGUCAUGUAGCGGUGAAAUGCUUAGAUAUGACAUAGAACACCCAUUGCGAAGGCAGCUAACUACGCGGAUAUUGACGCUGAGGCACGAAAGCGUGGGGAUCAAACAG